GACGAACGCUGGCGGCGUGCCUAAUACAUGCAAGUAGAACGCACAGUUUAUACCGUAGCUUGCUACACCAUAAACUGUGAGUUGCGAACGGGUGAGUAACGCGUAGGUAACCUGCCUGGUAGCGGGGGAUAACUAUUGGAAACGAUAGCUAAUACCGCAUAAUAUUAAUUAUUGCAUGAUAAUUGAUUGAAAGAUGCAAUUGCAUCACUACCAGAUGGACCUGCGUUGUAUUAGCUAGUAGGUGAGGUAACGGCUCACCUAGGCGACGAUACAUAGCCGACCUGAGAGGGUGAUCGGCCACACUGGGACUGAGACACGGCCCAGACUCCUACGGGAGGCAGCAGUAGGGAAUCUUCGGCAAUGGACGAAAGUCUGACCGAGCAACGCCGCGUGAGUGAAGAAGGUGUUCGGAUCGUAAAGCUCUGUUGUAAGAGAAGAACGGGGGUGAGAGUGGAAAGUUCACACUGUGACGGUAUCUUACCAGAAAGGGACGGCUAACUACGUG
rnacentral:rRNA from 1 species